rnacentral:rRNA from 1 species
AUCCUGGCGGAUGCUACAUCUGCAGCUACCGAGAUCUUCGGAUCUAGUCGCCGACGUUUAGAUAACGCGUGGGAACCUACUAUUAGUACGGGACACGUUUGGAAACGAACGCUAAUACCGUAUACGCCCUCCGGGGGAAAGGUCAGCCGCUGAAAGAGGGGCCGCGUCUGAUUAGCUCGUUGGUAGGGUAACGGCCUACCAAGGCUACGAUCAGUAGCUGGUCUGAGAGGAUGAUCAGCCACGCUGGGACUGAGACACGGCCCAGACUCCUACGGGAGGCAGCAGUGGGGAAUCUUGGACAAUGGAGGCAACUCUGAUCCAGCAAUGCCGCGUGUGUGAUGAACGCCCUAGGGUUGUAAAGCACUUUCAACGCGAGAAGAUGAUGACGGUAGCCGACGAAGAAGCCCCGGCUAACUUCGUGCCAGCAGCCGCGGAUAAUACGAAGGGGGCGAGCGUUCUUCGGAAUUAUAGGGCGUAAAGGGCUCGCAGGCUGCUUGAACAGAUAGACGUGAAAUCCCCGGGCUCAACCUUGAGAACAGCGUAUCAUACUAGCAAAGCAGAGACAUAGAGAGGAAAGUGGAACUCCCAGUGUACAAGUGAAAUCGUAGAUAUAGGGAGAACACAAGGGGCGAAAGAAACUAAUGGAUAUAUCAGACACUAAGAGCCAAAGAGUGGGAGCACCAGGAUUAAUACACGGUGACCAACCGAAACGAUGGUG